AAUAAUAAAAAAGAUUUUUUUGCCCUUUGUCCCUCUCCCUUUCCCCUCCCUCUCUUUCCUCCCCUCUCCCCUUUCCUUCCCCCUUCCUCUCCUCUAUGCCGAUAGCACUCUCUUCCUCCCUCCCUGCCUGCGUUGAACGGAGGGUUGCCGCCCAUCCAGCCCCUCUCCCUUCCUCCUACUGUCGCGCCGCCCUUCCCCUUCUUCUUCCCUUUCGCAGCGACGUCGACCAAAGAAAGGAGCUGCCAUCGCCGUUUCGGCCGCCUGCCAAUGUCCAAUCAGCCGUCUAACGCCAAAUUCGGGUCCCUCACCAUCGAAAACAAGACUCCCCCGUUCUUUUCCAUCGCCGGCAGCCUCAGAGGAGCUUCGCCGGAGCCGAGACUUUUCAGCCCCGAUUUGGUGCCUUCCGUUGAGUUUAUGGCUGAAACUCUUGUGUUUUCGGACUCCCCGAAACUCAAGCUUCGCAUAGGCACUUUCGGAUUCAAAUUCCGACACCAUUGGCAGUACUAGCUUCCGGACCCCGGCGUUUUCCGGACACGCGAAAUUUUAAAUUUCGGCUCGAUAUAAUUUUAUUUGGACGUCAAAAGUUAUGUUUUAAUUUUAAAAAAAUAUUGUUGCUAUUAAUUAUCAAUUAUAGAUAAUUUAAAUUUAAUUAGAUUUAGUUAAUUGUGAUUUGUGGUGUGUUGGGGAGUUGGAAAAAAUAAUGUAGUUUUGUGGCCCGACUCCCGUUAGUUAAUCCCAGAAUAUUUGAAGUGUUUCUAGCAGGUUCUUAACCCAUUGUACGGGGGGAAAUAUUCAUAAUGUAGAGGAGGUUCUGCCAAAUUUUCGAUAGAAUUCUCAAAUCUGAAAUAUUUUUUUAGGCAGUCUAAUCUAUGGGUCUAGGCUUAGAGAAAUUUAAAAAUAUCUAUUAAUCGAGUGUUUUCGUGAAUAGAUAAUCUAUCCAUCCCGCCAGCUCCACCCGAGGCGUAGGAGCGGACUGUGGAGCGCAACAGAACUGUGAGUUAAAGUCAUAUAAUCACUGUACCAUUGGCAUGUCUAAAUUUAAUGCGAUGUUUAAUGAUUAAUAUUUAAUAAGGUUAUUAUUAUCGUAAUUAUAAGUAAUUUUGUUUAAUUGAUAAUUAUCAUGAAUAGUACUAGUAUUAUUAUCAGUAAAUUUAUGUCAUUAUUUUGAAUAUUUUUAAUUAAUGUUAUUUUAAUAUUAGUAUUAUUAUCACUGCUUAUAAUUGCAUGUUUGCUAAUUCUGAGAUUUCUAAAUUUUUAAUUCUCAGUAUGUUAUUGAUUAAUUUAUGUUGGCCUGUGAUUAUUUUAUUUAUGAUUUUUAUAAAUGUUGUGAUUGUGACAUUAGGAUGAGGUGACAGUAGAACAUGUCACAUGAUGGGUUACAUUAGGAUUGCGUGCGCACCGAUAAUAAUGAGAGGCAGAUAACAAAGGUUAUUUUUGGAUUUUGCCCUGGUCGAGUAUAACUCUCAAGGCUGUGAAAGCUUGACUGCUGGAGAAAGGUCCCUAAUCGAGCAAUGCUCUUUGGCGCCAGCUUAAUUGGGAAUCAAGUUUUUAGGCUAGAUGUAAGGACCCUGGUUGAGCUUCACUCUCUAGGCGCCAUACCUAUUAGAAUAAGAGAGUCGAAAGACUACUAGCAUUUUGGGUUGGGGUUCUGCUAAGCCACUCGUCCCAUAAGUCUUUAAAUGUACUUUCUUUCUAAAUUAUGG
rnacentral:lncRNA from 1 species